CCGCCAGAAAACUACGAGCGAAAAGCUUAAAACUCAAAGGACUUGGCGGUGCUCCAUACCGACUUAGAGGAGCCUGUCCUAUAAUCGAUACCCCACGCUAAACCUCACCAAUCUUUGCCAAAUCAGCCUAUAUACCGCCGUCGUCAACCUACCUCAUGAGAGAAAAACAGUAAGUACAAAAGUUUCAAAACUAAAACGUCAGGUCAAGGUGUAGCUAAUAGAAUGGAAGAGAUGGGCUACAUUUUUU
rnacentral:rRNA from 1 species